rnacentral:rRNA from 1 species
UACGUAGGUGACCAGCGUUGUCCGGAUUUACUGGGCGUAAAGAGCGCGCAGGCGGUCGUUCAAGUCGAGUGUGAAAGCCCCCGGCUCAACUGGGGAGGGUCAUUCGAUACUGAUCGACUUGAAGGCAGGAGAGGGAAGCGGAAUUCCCGGUGUAGUGGUGAAAUGCGUAGAUAUCGGAAGGAACAUCAGUGGCGAAGGCGACUUCCUGGACCAAUACUGACACUCAGGUGCGAAAGCGUGGGGAGCAAACAGG